UACGGGGGGGGCAAGCGUUGUUCGGAAUUACUGGGCGUAAAGGGCUCGUAGGCGGCCAACUAAGUCAGACGUGAAAUCCCUCGGCUUAACCGGGGAACUGCGUCUGAUACUGGAUGGCUAGAGGUUGGGAGAGGGAUGCGGAAUUCCAGGUGUAGCGGUGAAAUGCGUAGAUAUCUGGAGGAACACCGAUGGCGAAGGCAGCCCCCUGGGCUGACACUGACGCUCAGGCACGAAAGCGUGGGGAGCAAACAGG
rnacentral:rRNA from 1 species